GACGAACGCUGGCGGCGUGCUUAACACAUGCAAGUCGAACGGAAAGGCCCUGCUUUUGUGGGGUGCUCGAGUGGCGAACGGGUGAGUAACACGUGAGUAACCUGCCCUUGACUUUGGGAUAACUUCAGGAAACUGGGGCUAAUACCGGAUAGGAGCUCCUGCUGCAUGGUGGGGGUUGGAAAGUUUCGGCGGUUGGGGAUGGACUCGCGGCUUAUCAGCUUGUUGGUGGGGUAGUGGCUUACCAAGGCUUUGACGGGUAGCCGGCCUGAGAGGGUGACCGGCCACAUUGGGACUGAGAUACGGCCCAGACUCUUACGGGAGGCAGCAGUGGGGAAUAUUGCACAAUGGGCGGAAGCCUGAUGCAGCAACGCCGCGUGCGGGAUGACGGCCUUCGGGUUGUAAACCGCUUUCGCCUGUGACGAAGCGUGAGUGACGGUAAUGGGUAAAGAAGUACCGGCUAACUACGUG
rnacentral:rRNA from 1 species